GGCUCUGUGGUGGAAUUGGUAGACGCGCUGGACUCAAAAUCCAGUGUCCGCAAGGACGUGAGAGUUCGAUUCUCUCCGGAGCCACCA
rnacentral:tRNA from 1 species